rnacentral:piRNA from 1 species
CUCUUAUUUGAUUAAAACUGCAGC